rnacentral:SRP_RNA from 1 species
GGCUGGCCUCUUCGUGACAUCAAGCUGCUAAUCCCGCCAGGCCUGGGAAGGAGCAACGGUAACAGUGGAAGUGUGCACCGAAAUCAGGACAGUCAGU